GCUGCUUUGCCUGGGAUGGAUACUUCAUUUCUGAGCCAAGCCUGUGGAAAGGGGUUUGUCACAACCAGCCUGAACAUAAAUGCUGCUAUCUCAUGCCCUGACCAUGGAAUGCCAGGCACGGGGAGGGCACAAGAAUGUGUCUGUGUGUGGUGAUAGCUGCAGCAGCUGUUUCUUCUUCCUCCAUAGCAUGUGGGUUGCCAGAAAGCCUGAGGGGCCCACCAGCCAAUUUCCAUACUUGGAUCUAGAGACAUCAGCCCACUAGGAAAAUUAAUAACGUUGAGAAGCAGGACUGUGCUGUACCUACCUCGAGUACCAGAGAGCACCACUGAGGCAGACUCUGGCGCUGAGUAAAGCUUGUCUAGACACAAAAUUAGAUUGGGUUAAAAAGACUUCUGUAUUCCUGCUCUCUUCUGUUUAUAUGGCUCAUAUCAACACAGUAUUUUAGUAUGUGAUGUCUAUUUAUAUAUUUAAGAGUUGUUAAACUUCUGUGCAAAGCACUGUCUGGAUAUUUUUAUUUUAGUUUAAAAGUGAGUCAAAAUACAGUUAUAUGUGUAGCAUGAUUUAAGACUACCAGGGCUUUCCAG